CGAACGCUGGCGGCAGGCUUAACACAUGCAAGUCGAGCGGGCAUCCUUGUGGUGUCAGCGGCAGACGGGUGAGUAACGCGUGGGAACGUGCCCUUCGGUUCGGAAUAACUCAGGGAAACUUGAGCUAAUACCGGAUACGUGCGAGAGCAGAAAGGUUUAUCUGCCGAAGGAUCGGCCCGCGUCUGAUUAGCUAGUUGGUGAGGUUACGGCUCACCAAGGCGACGAUCAGUAGCUGGUCUGAGAGGAUGAUCAGCCACACUGGGACUGAGACACGGCCCAGACUCCUACGGGAGGCAGCAGUGGGGAAUAUUGGACAAUGGGGGCAACCCUGAUCCAGCCAUGCCGCGUGAGUGAUGACGGCCUUAGGGUUGUAAAGCUCUUUUCUCCGGGACGAUAAUGACGGUACCGGAGGAAUAAGCCCCGGCUAACUUCGUG
rnacentral:rRNA from 1 species